rnacentral:rRNA from 1 species
AUGUGUGUGCCGAAAGAUCAGGGAUGUAUGGGUUCUGGAGAUAUAUAUUGUUUCAAUAUCACUUUGCUAGCUAAACAAGUGCAACGUCUUCUUGACAACCAUAAUUUUUUAUGUGCAUCUAUCUUGAGAGCUAAAUAUUUGUCUCAUGGAGACCUGAUGAAUGCAAGCUUAAAAAGGGUUCCUAUUUUAUUUUCCAAAGCAUUAUGGCGGAAAUUAAUUCGCCGGAAAAAUGGGUAUAUCUGGAGGGUGGGAAAUGGACAAAAUAUCGAUAUUUGGAAAGAUGCUUGGAUUCUAAAUUGUGCAAAUAGGAAAUCAUUACCCUGA